UUUGGAUUUGUCUGCAAUGUAGCAUGCUUCUGUCGAUUAAAAAAAGCUGCUCAGUAUGUGUAGAUAAUCCUUGCUACUGCGGCUUUUUUGAAAGAUAACGUUAGCCAUGGAGAACUGCAAAAGUGUUGCUACUGCGCUCAAUAACAUUGCAGCCCUGAAUUUAGGAGGCACUAUCGACAAAGACCAGUGGGAAAAAGUUGUAAUGGAUUACUUUCUGCACACGGAAAAGGAGGACCGAGCACUCCUCCAUUCUCAUCAACGGGGCUGUAGUGGAGCAGUUUGAGAGCGUCACCAACAAACUACCAUGGUCAAACAUACCAAGACAGUUGUGAAGAGCGGACGACAAUGGCUAUUCUGCCACGUCGCGGACACCGACGUCUUGCUUCCAGACAAACUAAACACCUUCUUUGCUCGCUUUGAGGAUAAAACAGUGUCAACGACGCAGCCCGCUACCAAAGACUGUGGGCUCUCCUUCUCCGUGGCCGACGUGAGUAAGACAUUUAAACGUGUUAACCCUCGCAAGGCUGCCGGCCCAGAUUGCAUCCCUAGCCGCUUCCUCAGAGCAUGCGCAGACCAGCUGGCUGGUGUGUUUACGGACAUAUUCAAUCUUUCCCUAUCCCAGUCUACUGUCCCCACAUGCUUCAAGAUGGCCACCAUCGCAUUCUUGGGUACAGGAACAAAGGUAACUGAACUAAAUGACUAUUGCCCCGUAGCACUCAAUUCUGUCAUCAUGAAGUGCUUUGAGAGACUAGUCAAGGAUCAUAUCACCUCCACCUUACCUGUCAUCCUAGACCCACUUCAAUUUGCUUACUGGCCCAAUAAGUCAACAGACGAUGCAAUCGCCAUCACACUGCCCUAUCCCAUCUGGACAAGAGGAAUACCUAUGUAAGAAUGUCGUUCAUUGACUAUAGCUAAGCAUUCAACACCAUAGUACGUGGCCAUGCACACCUCCAACUCAAUCAUCAAGUUUGCAGAUAACACAACAGUAGUAGGCUUGAUUACCAACAACAACAAGACAGCCUACAGGGAGGAGGUGAGGGCCCUGGGAAUGUGGUGUUGGAAAAUAACCUCUCACUCAACGUCAACAAAACAAAAGAGAUGAUUGUGGACUUCAGGAAACAGCAG
rnacentral:lncRNA from 1 species